rnacentral:rRNA from 1 species
CAUGCCUACGACAUAGCAUUAAUGCACCAGAUCCCAUUAGCACUCCGCAAUUAAGCAUGCUCAGGCUAGAGUAGUACUGGGAUGGGUGACCGCUUGGGAAGUCCUAGUGUUUUCCAUGC